CUUUCUUUAUUUUGCCGAAACACCAUUGUUGGAAGACUUGGGAGCUUCGGUUUGUGCUAUUCUUGGAUGCAUAUCAAGAUCAAGUUGAUAAUCGAGGAAAAGGGAAGGUUAUUGAUUAAUCCUUAGACUUUUGUUGUUUUUGCAGUUUGACCCUGGUAAGUUCGUACAGUUUUAUUUUAGUAUAAUUUAAACAUUUAAUUAUUUACUAAUUGGAAUUGCUAAAUGAUUUAAAAUUGAUGAAUCGUAGUAAGUGGGUUGAUUUAAGAUAGAAAUCAUAUUGAAUGUUGUUACGAAUUAAAUAAGUGAACCGAUGAACAUAGGAUAGGAUACGAUUGGCAUGCCAAUAGGUUAUAUCGUGCUCUGUACGGGAUUGAUUGAUGUUGAAAUAAUGAUUUUGUUUAAUUAUUGUUUAUUGAAUAAACCAAAGUUCAACAUUUGUUGCGAACUAUCGCGUUAUAUUAUAGUGAUUUAGGUGUGUCUUGGGGGCGGAUGUAAAGCAUUCGGGCUUGGCACUCAGUGCUGAGGUGUGUUUUAGAGGGAUGUUAGCCUACGGGCUCGACACUUAGUGCCCAAGUGUGUUUUCGGAUGGUUAGCUCAUUGAGCAUUUUAGUGUGUUUGGAUGGUUAACUGUGUAUACGAGUCUGUCAUAACGUUCACCAAGUUUAUUUUUAAUGGAUAAUGUAAUUGAUUGGAUUUUUCCAUUUGUAAUUAAGUUUAAAACUCACCCAUAAUUUGGUUAUGGAUGACA